CAAAAGGGACUCCGUAAGGUGACCUGCGGAGGGAUC
rnacentral:rRNA from 1 species